rnacentral:tRNA from 1 species
AAGGGGGUAGCUAAGUGAAAAGUGUUGUCCUUACAAGGCAAUGAUAUUUGUUAAAUACCAAUUCCCCUUUA